UACGAAGGGGGCUAGCGUUGCUCGGAAUCACUGGGCGUAAAGCGCACGUAGGCGGCUUUCUAAGUCAGGGGUGAAAUCCUGGAGCUCAACUCCAGAACUGCCUUUGAUACUGGAGAGCUUGAGUCCGGAAGAGGUGAGUGGAACUCCGAGUGUAGAGGUGAAAUUCGUAGAUAUUCGGAAGAACACCAGUGGCGAAGGCGGCUCACUGGUCCGGUACUGACGCUGAGGUGCGAAAGCGUGGGGAGCGAACAGG
rnacentral:rRNA from 1 species